UCUUCUCUCAUAUGAUUUUUGACGACGCUGCUUGUAACCGCAGAAGUGGUGUUUAAUUAUUUUUUUUAAAAAAAGAUGGAAUUUGGAGCUAAAGGACAGAAGAAGGCAAAACCCAUUGAUGUCUUCAAGAAUGUCAAGGGCAGAUAUACUGGUCUAAUUAAAGCUCUCACAACAGAUGUGGAUGAAUUUUAUAAGCAGUGUGAUCCUGAAAAGGAGA
rnacentral:misc_RNA from 1 species